CGAGUGUGCGUGCGGACGUCUGGGUGCGUGUGCUGCUGAGCAUGGAGGGCCAACGGAUCCACAUGUGACAAGUGGAGCGCUGAGGGCUCUGGCUCUCCAGGUCCCCCUCCGGCCUCUGUUACUCUCAUUUGUCUCCCUUGCCUGCACUCGCUGGAUUCUCACAAUUCAUCCCACACGGAGCACCUGAUGGCCUUCCUGCCAGCGUCAGGGAGCAGGGCAGGGGCGUGAAACCCUGGGAAAGUGAAUGGAAGCUCCCGGGGGGCUGCCCAACAUGCGCCUUUGCAGAUCUUCAAAGACGCUCGCCAGUGAUGCCAGGACGAAACACUUUGCAAACUUCUCUUCUAAGAACAAACCUUCACCAGACAUUAUCUUUAGUUAAAAAGCCAGUAUUUUAACUUUUUCUACCUAUUGAUUUUCUAUCUAUCGAUAGCUUCUUAUCAGGACAGUGUCCUGAGCAGUACAGGAAAAUAUGUACUUAUACAGGAUAUUAUAGAAUUUUCUGAGAAAUAGGAAAAUCUAUUUAUUGGCGAAAGCUGCUGUGUGAGUUUCCUGGGGCUGCUGUCACGAACACAGACUCAGAGGCUGAACACAGGUUUGUUAUUUCACAGUCUGUGGGUUAGAGUCCGACGCGGUGUCCGCUCAGUGAUAGCCGGGCCCCUUCUGGCAGCUCUGGGGAGAUGCCAUUUCCCUUCCAGCCUCCGGGACCCCCUUGGAGGUCCCUCCCAUCCUCACAGCCACAGAUGGCCCCACCUACCCCAUCCUUCCCUUGUCCAGUCUCCCUCUGCCUCUUCUGCCAGCUUCCAUGUAAGGGCCCUUGAGGUUACAUGGGGUACACCCAGAUGAUCCAGGACAGCCUCCCUAUUUCAAGGUCAGCUGGGUAGCUACCUCCUUUCCCUGAAGCUUUAAUCCCUCACCAUGGAGUGUUACGCAGUUGCAGGGCCUGGGAUGGGGAUGAGGAUGUUUUUGAGGGACUAUGACUGCCUACCACAGCUGGUAUAAAUCUUAGAUUACACUGAAAUAAAUUCCUUUUCAUGACCAGCAUAUGAACCAAACUAAUCAUAUAAUGUUUGAAAAGAUCACUGUAGCUUUAAAUUCUUUUAUGUACUUAUAACAUGUUAACAUCUGCUAGGCUUUGUAAUAACUCUUUCAUCUUCA
rnacentral:lncRNA from 10 species